AACAGCUUCUAGCUCGGAGGAGGCUUUCACUCGGCUGACUCAGUGUGCAGGCAGAGUCACCACUUGUGCAGAUGCGCCUGCAGAUAGACCAGGUGGGAUUAGAGCAGUGCAAGUAUUGCACACGCCUUAAAGAAAUGGGGCUGAGGUAAGAGAGACGGCAAUGCAGAAAGGUCAACUUCAUUACUUAAGAUUGCCCAAGAGGCCAUGCCAAACCCUCCUGAAUCCUGUGUGAUUAACCACAAACACCUUCCUGGGGGACAGCCUGAACUUGCUCCUGAAGGUGGAGGUCUAUCUGCAGGGCCGGAUGUGGAGAAGGAAUCUUACAGUUCAUAAACAAGAUCAUAAAAGAACAACUUGCUUUGUUACCACUUCUACUGAGGCUGUGAAACACGAGUUACUGAAAAUACUACACUGCAGCUUGUGUCCAUGAGGCUCAGGAGAAUGAGAUGCUGUGCUGCAAACAACUCAGAAGCAGGAAAGGAGAAGAAGGAGGGGAGAAAAUGAGCUGCCUCAGUAAUAUACCUCCUCUGACAAAGCUGAAAGUGCCUGGCUAUUUCUCAGCAAAUGAAAAAAAGUCUAAAGGAAUGAGACUGUAAACUAUUCCUGAGGUGGAAGAAACACCAACAUGAAUUCUUGACAGAAAAAAAAAGUCCUUGUGCUGCUCCUCUGCCCCAUUUUGCAACUGUGCUAUCCUGGCAAAGACUUUUGGAUUAAAUCUACAGAUUACACUGGACCUGACUUCACUCAGAGACUGAAAUACGUGCCGCUCUCUUGAUGAGCAGAUACAUUACAUUCAAUCUAUCUAGCAGUUUUUGUCCUGCACAAGCCAAAUCUCCUUUCAACAUCAAUAUUAUUUAUUAGCUCAUGAGCUUUCCUCAUCACCAGGAGAUCUGAGAGCCUCUACAGACACUAGUGAGCCUAUUCUCAUACUGGGUGAGAGAGUGCUGGGGAAGUCAGAAGGAACCUGAAAUUUCAUGGAUGCCCAGUAACAGAUGUCUAGAACCUGUAUUCAAAGUAUGUCCAUACGAAAUGUUUAGUAAAGGUGAUUUACUCAGCAUCACUUAUCCCACUGUACAAAGAACACUGUCAUUUUAUGUGAUGAAAGUACUUAUUUACAAUGCUCUCCAGACAUACUCACAGUUCAUUAGAAGUCUAAUUGGAGGUAGGGGUCUUCUGUUUUAUCCCAUCUUUGGAAAGGCACUUGGAUAAAAAUGAGCUAAGAAAACCUGCAUGAGCUUUACAAAACAAAGUAACAAGGAACUGAUUUUAAUUACAUAUAGUACCCUUGAUUUUCUUAUUUAUGCAUCUCAAGCCACUACUCCUCCCCAUUAUUACAUUUCCAGGUCUCAAUGUUUUCAUUCAAAGUUUUGAGUGCUUCUGAAAACUCAGACCAGCCCCCACCUCCCCAGCUUUAGUGAUGCUGGGGAGCACAGACAUGUGGUGUGAUGCCACCUCAGCUGUGAAUAGUUAACACUGUUAUAGUUCAAAACUUCAGCCAGGAAUGCUACCUGUGAGGGCAGAGUGCCUUGGGACAGAAAGUCCUUGGCAGGAGCUAAACCGUAAUGAGCUUAAAAUGUACUGAGGAGUUCGGCAAAUACAAAGCCAGGUCACAGAAUAGGUAGCUGCAGAAAUUUUCCUAUGUGUAAUGUUUAUAAGACAAUUAUUUACAUUAUCUGGAUGGUUUUAAUUACAGGACAGUUCAGACCAGUUUCUUUAAGUUUUCCCAAGGGGUAAUUAGUCACCCUGUGAAUUUGCAUAUUUUCCAUUGCUCUAUCGAAGCAAAUCAGCUAUACUUAUUGGAAGAUUGACCUAGCAACCUCUGUUCUUAGCAGAUUAUAGUCUGAGUUUCAUCAUGACGUCAGCUAGUAUAUUAGCAAAUGUUCUGGUCUGUACUUCUAGAGCAAGUAAACUUUGGGCUCUUCAUUUAAAAUGUGAGAAAUUUUGAGACAUGGUAAAAAGGGGUAUCUUAUUCAUAGGGGAAAGUAGCAAUGAACUACUGCCCUACAGAUGUUCACAUGUUCACUCUAUCUCCUAAAACACAGUUUGCACAAGGGAAUAAGAUAGAGUGCUAGCCUGGAGCAGAAGUCACUUCUCCAUACCAGUUCUGCAGGAUUCUACAUACCAGGUUCAGCUGAUCCUGCUGGAAUUCCUUGCUGAGCCAAAUUUUGGCUCCUACAGACCAUCUGUGCACUGCAAAGACCCUGGCUCCUUGCCUGUCUGCUACAUUGCCUCCCAAAGUACUCACAAACCAUGCGGCAGUAAGUUCCAAAUUAGUUCAUAUACGUACCGAUAAAUUCAUCUGUACAAGUUAUGCCUUGUUUUUUAAAAUAUUAUCCAAACUAAAUUUAUAUCCAAGCAAUAAUACACAAGAAGUAGCUUGCAGAUCUUUGGGGUUAAAAUGGGAAUGAAUGACCUUGAGAAGACGUUCUUUGGAGGGAGAGAGGCAAUCCAGUAGUGGAACUUAAUCUGAAUCACAUUAAUUCAAUACUACAGGUGAACAACCUUUAGUGUAACAACGGCCUGACAACAAAAGCUAGAUAUUUACACCGAUGCUCUAAUCGUUAGUCUAUUUCUUUAGAUUUGCAUCAUGUACCCAGUUUUCAAACAGGAGAACAAUUGUUUACUGUAGGUGUCCUUUUAUGAAUCAUCAACAGUGAGUGAAGAUGUACUCUUACUGCAA
ensembl:lncRNA